AUUGAACGCUGGCGGCAGGCCUAACACAUGCAAGUCGAACGGAGUGGCGGACGGGUGGGUGAUGGCUGGGAAAAUGCCUGGUAGAGGGGGCUAACGUCCGGAAACGGGCGCUAAUACCGCAUACUAUCAGAUGAGCCUAGGGGGGUUUAGCUAGUUGGUGGGGUAAAGGCAUACCAAGGCGACGAGCCGUAACUGGUCUGAGAGGAUGAUCAGUCACCAUGGAACUUAGACACGGUCCAGACUCCUACGGGAGGCAGCAGUGGGGAAUAUUGGACAAUGGGCGAAAGCCUGAUCCAGCCAUGCCGCGUGUGUGAAGAAGGUCUUCGGAUUGUAAAGCACUUUAAGUUGGGAGGCGUUACCAACAGAAUAAGCACCGGCUAACUUCGUGCCAGCAGCCGCGGUAAUAC
rnacentral:rRNA from 1 species